rnacentral:rRNA from 1 species
AUACGAAAGGUGCAAGCGUUGUUCGGAUUUACUGGGCGUAAAGAGAGUGUAGGUUGUUUAUUAAGUCGGAUGUGAAAUCCCGGGGCUCAACCUCGGAACUGCAUUCGAUACUGAUAGGCUAGAGUUUGGGAGGGGUAAGCGGAAUUCCGUGUGUAGCAGUGAAAUGCGUAGAUAUACGGAGGAACACCUGAGGCGAAGGCGGCUUACUGGACCAAUACUGACACUGAGACUCGAAAGCGUGGGUAGCAAACAGGAUUAGAAACCCCGGUAGUCC